GGCUGGUCCAAAGGUAGUGAGUUAUCUCGAUUGUUCACAGUCAGUUACAGAUCCAACUCCUGUUCUUCUCUUUUCCCCCUUCUCACUACUGCACUUGACUAGUCUUAA
rnacentral:Y_RNA from 1 species